UAUUAAUUUAAAAAUCUUCUGGAGUAGUAAAAGUUAAUGUUUUAAACUUAAAAGAUUUGGCGGUAUUUUAUCUUAUUAGAGGAACCUGCUUAUUAAUUGAUAUUCCACAACUAUACUUUACUUUUAUUAUUUUACCUGUAUGCCGCCGUCAUGAGGAUACUUAAAAGUAAUUUUCAUUCAUUUUUAUUUAACACAUGUUAGGUCAAGGUGCAGUUUAUAAAAGGUUAUUGUGGGUUACUUUAAGUAUGAUGAAUGAAUUAUAUGAAGUUUAGUUAAUAUGAAAAAGGAUUUAAAAGUAAAAAAAUUAUGGAAAUUAUAUGAAUAAAGAUUCUAAAAUAUGU
rnacentral:rRNA from 1 species